rnacentral:tRNA from 1 species
GCCUGGCUAGCUCAGUUGGUAGAGCAUGGGACUCUUAAUCUCAGGGUUGUGGGUUCGAGCUCCAUGUUGUGUG